GGGGCCAUGGCUCAGCGGAAGUGCUUCUGCUUGGGAUGAAGAAGGUCACGGGUUCAAUCCCUGGCAUCUCCA
rnacentral:tRNA from 1 species